rnacentral:rRNA from 1 species
UACGAAGGGGGGCUAGCGUUGCUCGGAAUCACUGGGCGUAAAGCGCACGUAGGCGGAUUGUUAAGUCAGGGGUGAAAUCCUGGAGCUCAACUCCAGAACUGCCUUUGAUACUGGCGACCUUGAGUUCGGGAGAGGUGAGUGGAACUGGCGAGUGUAGAGGUGAAAUUCGUAGAUAUUCGCAAGAACACCAGUGGCGAAGGCGGCUCACUGGCCCGAUACUGACGCUGAGGUGCGAAAGCGUGGGGAGCAAACAGG